AGGACGAACGCUGGCGGCGUGCUUAACACAUGCAAGUCGAGCGGUGAUCCUCCUUCGGGAGGUGAUCAGCGGCGAACGGGUGAGUAACACGUGGGCAACCUGCCCCUCACACUGGGAUAACCUCGGGAAACCGGGCUAAUACCGGAUACGACCUCGAGCGGCAUCUCUUGAGGUGGAAAGCUCCGACGGUGAGGGAUCGGGCCCGCGGCCUAUCAGCUUGUUGGUGGGGUAAUGGCCUACCAAGGCGACGACGGGUA
rnacentral:rRNA from 1 species